CCAUCUUCAACCUUCUUCUUGCCAUUGAUAUUCUUUGGAGGGGAGAUUAGAGCCGUUUGAAGGGAGUUGUGAGAUCUUUCGAGAUUUCAAGGCUUCUUAGGACUUAUCUUUUAAUUUCUUACUGUCAAUUCUUUCUUUAUUUCUGCUUGUGCCGAAUCUUUAUCUAAUUUAUUUUCUGUUCUUAUUGUGUUUUCAGCCUUUUUCUAUCUUAAGGAAUUAGCCCAAAAAUCCCCAAUUUCUAGGGUUCUUACCGAUUCAUCCAUACUCUUUUUUGGGAGAAAUUAGAUUGCCGAAAUUUGGGGAAAACUAUCUGGGUGUUCAAUUGGGCAGAAUCGCAAUCUCUUCUAGGGUUUCAAGAUUCCUUAUUAACACUUAUUUCUAUUCUCUAUAUGAUUCUUUACUGUUUUGGGGAUUUUAUUUCAGAUCUGAAAAUUCAAAAAAUCUAAUCUUUUAAUUUUCUGUUUCGUUUCAGAUCUAAUUGUUUAGGGUUUUCGUAGGAGUUUCUCGUGACUUGGCAACUCGAUCUUGGUCCGCGCACAACCCCGUAUCAUCAAGGCUUCUUAGGACUUAUCUUUUAAUUUCUUACUGUCAAUUCUUUUUUUAUUUCUACUUGUGCUGAAUCAUUAUCUAAUCUAUUUUCUGUUCUUAUUGUGUUUUCAGCCUUUUUCUAUCUUAAGGAAUCAGCCCAAAAAUCCCCAAUUUCUAGGGUUUUUCCAUACUCUUUUUGGGUGAAAUUAGAUUGUCAAAAUUUGGGGAAAACUAUCUUGGUGUUCAAUUGGGCAGAAUCACAAUCUCCU
rnacentral:lncRNA from 1 species